rnacentral:rRNA from 1 species
UACAGAGGGUGCAAGCGUUAAUCGGAUUUACUGGGCGUAAAGGGCGCGUAGGUGGUAAAGCAAGUAAGAUGUGAAAGCCCUGGGCUUAACCUGGGAACGUGCAUCUUAAACUGCUUAACUAGAGUAUGGUAGAGGGUAGUGGAAUUUCCGGUGUAGCGGUGAAAUGCGUAGAGAUCGGAAGGAACGCCAGUGGUGAAGACGACUACCUGGACCAAUACUGACACUGAGGCGCGAAAGCGUGGGGAUCAAACAGG